rnacentral:tRNA from 1 species
UGGGGUGUCGCCAGGCGGUAAGGCACCGGUUUUUGGUACCGGCAUUCGCAGGUUCGAAUCCCGCCACCCCAGCCA